AUUGAACGCUGGCGGCAGGCCUAACACAUGCAAGUCGAGCGAGCGGCGGACGGGUGAGUAAUGUAUGGUGACUGCCGGUUACCGGGGCAUUACUAAGGGAUACGGUAUCUAAUACCGCAUACUAUCGGAUAACCUAUGUGGGAUUAGCUAGUAGGUGAGGUAAUGGCCUACCAAGGCAACGAUCCCUAGCGGGUCUGAGAGGAUGAUCAGCCACACUGGGACUGAGACACGGCCCAGACUCCUACGGAGGCAGCAGUGGGGAAUAUUGGACAAGGGGCGAAAGCCUGAUGCAGCCAUGCCGCGUGUAUGAAGAAGGCCUUAGGGUUGUAAAGUACUUUCAGUCGGGAAGCGUUACCGACAGAAGAAGCACCGGCUAACUACGUGCCAGCAGCCGCGGUAAUUC
rnacentral:rRNA from 1 species